rnacentral:rRNA from 1 species
GAUGAACGCUGGCGGCGUGCUUAACACAUGCAAGUCGAACGGAAAGGCUCCUGCUUGCAGGGGUACUCGAGUGGCGAACUGGUGAGUAACACGUGGGUGAUCUGCCCUGCACCUCGGGAUAAGCCUGGGAAACUGGGUCUAAUACCGGAUAGGACGAUGGUUUGGAUGCCAUUGUGGAAAGUUUUUCGGUGUGGGAUGAGCUCGCGGCCUAUCAGCUUGUUGGUGGGGUAAUGGCCUACCAAGGCGUCGACGGGUAGCCGGCCUGAGAGGGUGUACGGCCACAUUGGGACUGAGAUACGGCCCAGACUCCUACGGGAGGCAGCAGUGGGGAAUAUUGCACAAUGGGCGCAAGCCUGAUGCAGCGACGCCGCGUGGGGGAUGACGGCCUUCGGGUUGUAAACUCCUUUCGCUAGGGACGAAGCGCAAGUGACGGUACCUGGAGAAGAAGCACCGGCUAACUACGUG